AAGGGAGACCUAAUUCAGGUAUGGGACGAAAAAAAAGUAGUCGCUACCAAGAAUCAAUCCCAAAAGGUCGGAGUGAGGUAUGAGGCUUUCAAACUAGGUUCUGGGUUCAAACAAGACCUGAAUCAGGAACAAGGGCUAUUAGCUCAGGUGGUUAGAGCGCACCCCUGAUAAGGGUGAGGUCCCUGGUUCGAGUCCAGGAUGGCCCACCUGCACAGGUGGCAAAAACAAGAGAAGCGAGGAAUCAGCACCUUAUCUUAUCUAUAUAUAAGAGAGAAUGCUGGCUCUGAGUAAAGAGUCCAGAGGAACCUUGAAAACUGCAUAGAGCUAGGUGAAAAAGCCAAAAAAGAAGACCGCAA
rnacentral:tRNA from 1 species